ACGAAAAAUCGAAGUCAAUCUCGAUUACCAUGUUAAUAGAAUGUGGGGCAUAAAUGCGAAUAGUUCAAAGUAAAUUUUUAUGAUGACAGAGUUUAUUUUUAAGUCUUGACCAACUCAUGUGCCAGCAGUCGCGGUAAGACAUGAAAGGCUAGCGUUAUUCAUCUUUAUUAGGUUUAAAGGGUACCUAGACGGUAGAUAACAGCUUUUAUCAUAAGUAAUUGUACUUUAUUUACUAGAGUUUAAUGUAAGGAAUCCAGCAUGGUGAGUGUAGUGAUUAUAUAUGUUGAUACCGCCUUAAAACUGGUUUAGGUGAAGACAAGUUCUUAUGUAAAAACUGACGUUGAGGGACGAAGGCUUUGGAAAAGAAACGGGAUUAGUUAACCCAGUACUAUUAGCAGACAAUGAUGAAUGUUAUAUAUAAGAAAAUUUUUGUAUAUAAAUGAAAGUGCAAGCAUUCCACCUCAAGAGUAAUAUGGCAACAUAAAAACUGAAAUCACUAGACCGUGUCUGGAAUUCGUAGUGAAGUAUGUUAUUUAAUUUGAUAACCCACAAAGGACCUUACCACAGUGUGUAUAGUUAUAUACGAAAGUAUAUUUCGGACAAGUGUUGCACGGCUGUCUACAGUUGAUAGCGUGAGUCAUGAUUAACUUCAUAAAUCAACGUAAUCCCUGACUUUAUUUGUAUUAAAGUACAAAUUACAACAUAUGAACUCCGUUGUAAUUUGAUAUAUGGGAGCAUGACAAGUCAUCAUGGCCAAACAUACAAAUUGACAGUAUUGUGGGCGAUAGACGUGCCACAUUUUUCCUUUACAAUAAGAUGUAAAAUCGCGAGAUUAAACUAAUCUUUAAAACAGGAUAUAAUAUGGAUU
rnacentral:rRNA from 1 species